CGUGAUUCCAAACCCGAGGUACAUACCGGACCGUGAUUCCAAACCCGAGGUACAUACCGGACCGUGAUUCCAAACCCGAGGUACACACCGGACCGUGAUUCCAAACCCGAGGUACACACCGGACCGUGAUUCCAAACCCGAGGUACACACCGGACCGUGAUUCCAAACCCGAGGUACAUACCGGACCGUGAUUCCAAACCCGAGGUACACACCGGACCGUGAUUCCAAACCCGAGGUACACACCGGACCGUGAUUCCAAACCCGAGGUACACACCGGACCGUGAUUCCAAACCCGAGGUACAUACCGGACCGUGAUUCCAAACCCGAGGUACACACCGGACCGUGAUUCCAAACCCGAGGUACAUACCGGACCGUGAUUCCAAACCCGAGGUACAUGCCAAACCGUGAUUUUU